rnacentral:rRNA from 2 species
GAAGGUGUGUCGUGAGGCAUGCUGGAGGUAUCAGAAGUGCGAAUGCUGACAUAAGUAACGAUAAAGCGGGUGAAAAGCCCGCUCGCCGGAAGACCAAGGGUUCCUGUCCAACGUUAAUCGGGGCAGGGUGAGUCGACCCCUAAGGCGAGGCCGAAAGGCGUAGUCGAUGGGAAACGGGUUAAUAUUCCCGUACUUGGUGUUACUGCGAAGGGGGGACGGAGAAGGCUAUGUUGGCCGGGCGACGGUUGUCCCGGUUUAAGCGUGUAGGUGUGUGUUCCAGGUAAAUCCGGUUCACUUUAACACUGAGGCGUGACGACGAGGCACUACGGUGCUGAAGCAACAAAUGCCCUGCUUCCAGGAAAAGCCUCUAAGCAUCAGGUAACAUCAAAUCGUACCCCAAACCGACACAGGUGGUCAGGUAGAGAAUACCAAGGCGCUUGAGAGAACUCGGGUGAAGGAACUAGGCAAAAUGGUGCCGUAACUUCGGGAGAAGGCACGCUGACACGUAGGUGAAGUGAUUUACUCAUGGAGCUGAAGUCAGUCGAAGAUACCAGCUGGCUGCAACUGUUUAUUAAAAACACAGCACUGUGCAAACACGAAAGUGGACGUAUACGGUGUGACGCCUGCCCGGUGCCGGAAGGUUAAUUGAUGGGGUCAGCGCAAGCGAAGCUCCUGAUCGAAGCCCCGGUAAACGGCGGCCGUAACUAUAACGGUCCUAAGGUAGCGAAAUUCCUUGUCGGGUAAGUUCCGACCUGCACGAAUGGCGUAAUGAUGGCCAGGCUGUCUCCACCCGAGACUCAGUGAAAUUGAACUCGCUGUGAAGAUGCAGUGUACCCGCGGCAAGACGGAAAGACCCCGUGAACCUUUACUAUAGCUUGACACUGAACAUUGAGCCUUGAUGUGUAG